rnacentral:rRNA from 1 species
GAUCCUGGCUCAGGAUGAACGCUAGCGACAGGCCUAACACAUGCAAGUCGAGGGGCAGCGCGGGAGAAGCUUGCUUUCCUGGCGGCGACCGGCGCACGGGUGCGUAACAGGUGUGCAAUCUGUCCAUAGUCGGGGGAUAGCCCAGCGAAAGCUGAAUUAAUACUCCAUGUGAAUCGAAGCCGCAUGACUUUGAUUUGAAACGCAAGGACUAUGGGUGAGCACGCUUCUGAUUAGGUAGUUGGUGGGGUAACGGCCCACCAAGCCGACGAUCAGUAGGGGUUCUGAGAGGAAGGUCCCCCACAUUGGAACUGAGACACGGUCCAAACUCCUACGGGAGGCAGCAGUGAGGAAUAUUGGUCAAUGGGCGUGAGCCUGAACCAGCCAAGUAGCGUGCAGGAUGACGGCCCUAUGGGUUGUAAACUGCUUUUAUGCGGGGAUAAAGUGCGCCACGUGUGGCGUUUUGUAGGUACCGCAUGAAUAAGGACCGGCUAAUUCCGUGCCAGCCGCCGC